rnacentral:rRNA from 1 species
GACGAACGCUGGCGGCGUGCUUAACACAUGCAAGUCGAACGGAAAGGCCCUGCUUUUGUGGGGUGCUCGAGUGGCGAACGGGUGAGUAACACGUGAGUAACCUGCCCUUGACUUUGGGAUAACUUCAGGAAACUGGGGCUAAUACCGGAUAGGAGCUCCUGCUGCAUGGUGGGGGUUGGAAAGUUUCGGCGGUUGGGGAUGGACUCGCGGCUUAUCAGCUUGUUGGUGGGUAGUGGCUUACCAAGGCUUUGACGGGUAGCCGGCCUGAGAGGGUGACCGGCCACAUUGGGACUGCGAUACGGACCAGACUCCUACGGGAGGCAGCAGUGGGGAAUAUUGCACAAUGGGCGGAAGCCUGAUGCAGCAACGCCGCGUGCGGGAUGACGGCCUUCGGGUUGUAAACCGCUUUCGCCUGUGACGAAGCGUGAGUGACGGUAAUGGGUAAAGAAGCACCGGCUAACUACGUG